rnacentral:misc_RNA from 1 species
GAUGAAGAACGUAGCAAAAUGCGAUAAGUAAUGUGAAUUGCAGAAUUCAGUGAAUCAUCGAAUCUUUGAACGCACAUUGCGCCCGCCAGUAUUCUGGCGGGCAUGCCUGUUCGAGCGUCAUUUCAACCCUCAAGCACAGCUUGGUGUUGGGACUCGCGUUAAUUCGCGUUCCUCAAAUUGAUUGGCGGUCACGUCGAGCUUCCAUAGCGUAGUAGUAAAACCCUCGUUACUGGUAAUCGUCGCGGCCACACCGUUAAACCCCAACUUCUGAAUGUUGACCUCGGAUCAGGUAGGAAUACCCGCUGAACUUAAGCAUAUCAAUAAGCGGAGGA